UGGGGAAUAUUGCACAAUGGGGGAAACCCUGAUGCAGCAACGCCGCGUGAAGGAUGAAGGUUUUCGGAUUGUAAACUUCUUUAGUCAGGGACGAAUAAAUUGACGGUACNUNNUGANUAAGCCACGGCUAACUACGU
rnacentral:rRNA from 1 species